UACGAAGGGGACUAGCGUUGUUCGGAAUUACUGGGCGUAAAGCGCGCGUAGGCGGCUUUGUAAGUUAGAGGUGAAAGCCCGGGGCUCAACCCCGGAAUUGCCUUUAAGACUGCAUCGCUAGAAUCCAGGAGAGGUGAGUGGAAUUCCGAGUGUAGAGGUGAAAUUCGUAGAUAUUCGGAAGAACACCAGUGGCGAAGGCGGCUCACUGGACUGGUAUUGACGCUGAGGUGGCGAAAGCGUGGGGAGCAAACACGG
rnacentral:rRNA from 1 species